rnacentral:rRNA from 1 species
UGGCGAACGGGUGAGUAACGCGUGAGGAACCUGCCUCAAAGAGGGGGACAACAGUUGGAAACGACUGCUAAUACCGCAUAAGCCCACGGGUCGGCAUCGACCCGAGGGAAAAGGAGCAAUCCGCUUUGAGAUGGCCUCGCGUCCGAUUAGCUAGUUGGUGAGGUAACGGCCCACCAAGGCGACGAUCGGUAGCCGGACUGAGAGGUUGAACGGCCACAUUGGGACUGAGACACGGCCCAG